rnacentral:rRNA from 1 species
UCGCUACUACCGAUUGAAUGGCUUAGUGAGGCCUCAGGAGGAAAUCUUUGAUGGUGGCAACACCGACAUUGCGUUCCGAAUUUGGACAAACUUGGUCAUUUAGAGGAAGUAA